rnacentral:tRNA from 1 species
GGGGACGUCGGUUAACUGGCAAACCACCUCUCUCCAAAAGAGGAAGACUGCAGGUUCGAUUCCUGCCGUCCCCG